AUACAUAGGGGGCAAGCGUUAUCCGGAAUUAUUGGGCGUAAAGCGUGCGUAGGCGGUUUAUUAAGUCUGAUGUUAAAUCCCACAGCUCAACUGUAGGCUGCCAUUGGAAACUGGUAGACUUGAGUGCGGUAGAGGUAAGUGGAAUUCCAAGUGGAGCGGUGGAAUGCGUAGAUAUUUGGAGGAACACCAGUGGCGAAGGCGGCUUACUGGGCCGUUACUGACGCUGAGGCACGAAAGCGUGGGGAGCAAACAGGAUUAGAUACCCUGGUAGUCCACGCCGUAAACGAUGAGUGCUAAGUGUUGGAGGGUUUCCGCCCUUCAGUGCUGCAGCUAACGCAUUAAGCACUCCGCCUGGGGAGUACGGCCGCAAGGCUGAAACUCAAAGGAAUUGACGGGG
rnacentral:rRNA from 1 species